CCUACGGGAGGCAGCAGUGAGGAAUAUUGGUCAAUGGGCGAGAGCCUGAACCAGCCAAGUCGCGUGAAGGAUGACGGCCCUACGGGUUGUAAACUUCUUUUGUCAGGGAGCACUUGGGUCCACGCGUGGGCUUAGCGAGAGUACCUGAAGAAAAAGCAUCGGCUAACUCCGUGCCAGCAGCCGCGGUCAUACGGAGGAUGCGAGCGUUAUCCGGAUUUAUUGGGUUUACAGGGUGCGUAGGCGGAAUAUCAAGUCAGCGGUAAAAAUUCGGGGCUCAACCCCGUCGUGCCGUUGAAACUGAUGUUCUGGAGUGGGCGAGAAGAAUGCGGAAUGCGUGGUGUAGGAGUGAAAUGCAUAGAUAUCACGCAGAACUCCGAUUGCGAAGGCAGCAUACCGGCGCCCAACUGACGCUGAAGCACGAAAGCGUGGGUAUCGAACAGGAUUAGAUACCCCAGUAGUC
rnacentral:rRNA from 1 species